rnacentral:rRNA from 1 species
AUGCAAGUCGAACGCUUUGUGGUUCAACUGAUUUGAAGAGCUUGCUCAGAUAUGACGAUGGACAUUGCAAAGAGUGGCGAACGGGUGAGUAACACGUGGGAAACCUACCUCUUAGCAGGGGAUAACAUUUGGAAACAGAUGCUAAUACCGUAUAACAAUGACAACCGCAUGGUUGUUAUUUAAAAGAUGGUUCUGCUAUCACUAAGAGAUGGUCCCGCGGUGCAUUAGCUAGUUGGUAAGGUAAUGGCUUACCAAGGCGAUGAUGCAUAGCCGAGUUGAGAGACUGAUCGGCCACAAUGGGACUGAGACACGGCCCAUACUCCUACGGGAGGCAGCAGUAGGGAAUCUUCCACAAUGGGCGAAAGCCUGAUGGAGCAACGCCGCGUGUGUGAUGAAGGGUUUCGGCUCGUAAAACACUGUUGUAAGAGAAGAAUGACAUUGAGAGUAACUGUUCAAUGUGUGACGGUAUCUUACCAGAAAGGAACGGCUAAAUACGUGCCAGCAGCCGCGGUAAUACGUAUGUUCCAAGCGUUAUCCGGAUUUAUUGGGCGUAAAGCGAGCGCAGACGGUUAUUUAAGUCUGAAGUGAAAGCCCUCAGCUCAACUGAGGAAUUGCUUUGGAAACUGGAUGACUUGAGUGCAGUAGAGGAAAGUGGAACUCCAUGUGUAGCGGUGAAAUGCGUAGAUAUAUGGAAGAACACCAGUGGCGAAGGCGGCUUUCUGGACUGUAACUGACGUUGAGGCUCGAAAGUGUGGGUAGCAAACAGGAUUAGAUACCCUGGUAGUCCACACCGUAAACGAUGAGUGCUAGGUGUUUGAGGGUUUCCGCCCUUAAGUGCCGCAGCUAACGCAUUAAGCACUCCGCCUGGGGAGUACGACCGCAAGGUUGAAACUCAAAGGAAUUGACGGGGACCCGCACAAGCGGUGGAGCAUGUGGUUUAAUUCGAAGCAACGCGAAGAACCUUACCAGGUCUUGACAUCCCUUGACAACUCCAGAGAUGGAGCGUUCCUUUCGGGGACAAGGUGACAGGUGGCGCAUGGCUGUCGUCACCCCGGGUCGGGAGAUGCUGGGUUAAGUCCCGCAACGAGCGCAACCCUUAUUACUAGUUGCCAGCAUUCAGUUGGGCACUGUAGUGAGACCGCCGGUGACAAACCGGAGGAAGGUUGGGAUGACGUCAAAUCAUCAUGCCCCUUAUGACCUGGGCUACACACGUGCUACAAUGGCGUAUACAACGAGUUGCCAACCCGCGAGGGUGAGCUAAUCUCUUAAAGUACGUCUCAGUUCGGAUUGUAGGCUGCAACUCGCCUACAUGAAGUCGGAAUCGCUAGUAAUCGCGGAUCAGCACGCCGCGGUGAAUACGUUCCCGGGUCUUGUACACACCGCCCGUCACACCAUGAGAGUUUGUAACACCCAAAGCCGGUGGGGUAACCUUCGGGAGCCAGCCGUCUAAGU